ACUGAUUUAUGGAAACACUUGUCUGGUUUACAAGAGUAAUUUCUGAUUUUGUAGACAAGAAAUGGGUUCAGUCAUCUGAGACAAGUUUACUCAUAACCUUUAGGGAAGAUUCCCUAAGGGUAUGAAUAUUGCUUCUGUCUUUAAUGCUGGAAUUUGCCUUUAGGGAAGGAACUUCCAUGUUUAAAGACCCUUCAAUUUUUUAGCAGCUGUGGACUCUGGGGAUCAGAGGAGCGUCGAGUAGGGAAAG